CUGUUGUGGAAAUCAAAAUUCUUCAGGAGAGCCGCUUAAGCACCUCUUAAGCAGAAGAAAAGCAAAGACGCCUGGAAAAUUUUACUUCUACCUCUUUCACCAAGGAUGAAAGAUAUGAAUGCAUUUCCUUGCCUCGAUGAAAAACCACUCAUUCCAGGCAUGUUUGAUAGAAGCAAGCUGAGAAUUGAACCGUAUUUGGUGGACGUUUAUUCAACUGGACAUUUAAAUCAGGGCUCGACCCUAAACCUUUUCCUGGGUACAUGUAUAAGCUGUCAGAGUUGAACUAGGAAGCAGCCGUAGUGGCUAUGUGACAUCUUCGACUUUACCCGCCGUUGGAGUUGAUUUGCUUCAAGUGAUUUACUGAUACAUUACAUGCGUACAUUUUGAAUUUUUUUUGGGAAGAAAUCACAGUGGCCAUUCUUUUGUUUGACCAGCAGCUAAGAUUAUCAGUUUCAU